UGGCGAAAUGUGGUUUCGAACCAGGUACAUUUAGUUCCUCAGUCUAAAGCUUUCACAGCUGAGCUAUUCCGCC